AAAAAACCAUAGCCUUGACUGUAUGGACCUUUGUCGGCAAACUUGUGAUUCAUCCAGCCUGGUAUUUAUCAUGAAGUACUCUACAACAGGGAAGCCUGGCGUGCUACACUUCAUGGGGUCGAAAAGAGUCAGACACAACUGAACAACUGAACAACAACAACUCUGCAUGUUGAUUCCAUGUCUUGGCUUGCCUGGUGUGAAUACUGCUGCUGUGAACUUACAGGUGUAUGUAUCUUUUCAAAUUAGAGUUUUCUCUGGAUACAGGCCCAGAAGUGAGACUGCUGGAUCAUAUGGUAGUUUCAUUAUAGGGGACUGGUAUGCAAAAGUAGGAAGUCAAGAAACACCUGGAGUAAC
ensembl:lncRNA